GCUGGGUGUGGUGGUGCGCGCCUGUAGUCCCAGCUACUCAGGAGGCUGAGGCAGGGGCAUCGCUUGAACCCGGGAGUUGGAAGUUGCAGUGAGCCGAGAUGGAGCCACUGCACUCCAGCCUGGGCGACAGAGCGAGACUCUGUCUCAA
rnacentral:SRP_RNA from 1 species